UCAAGAUCAGGAAACCGAGCAAUAGCAAAGGGGUCACCUGCAUUUCCAUCGAUGAUCACCCACACCGGGACUCCGAGGAAGUCGUCUGCUAUGAGGCGGACCUCCCGGGAAGACGACAUCCUUUCUCGCUUCGGUUCCUGUCACAGGUCACCAGGUCCCUCUGAUCCACCAGUUGCAGC